AUGGAUUUACCGAUACAUCAAAGGGAAGCGUGUCAGGGUUCGAGCAAAGAAUGACAAUGAAGCUGGUGAUGUUAACAGUGUUGCAAGUGGGGAUGAGGAGGCUUCCCAUGAUGAUGAAUUAGAUGGCAUUAAUGAUGUUGCAAGUGGGGAUGAGGAGGCUUCCCAUGACAAUAAAUUGGAUGGCAUCAAUGAUGUUGCAAGUGAGGAUGAGGAGGCUUUCCAUGAUGAGAGUGAAGUAGGCAUUCGCAUAGAUGCGAAUGAAGUCGGCGUGGAAACCAAUUUAAGUUCCAAUGAUUUUAGUGUUGAAGCUAACAGUUCUCUCUCUGAGUGUCAAAAUCAGGAUCGAUUGCAUUGGGAGCAUAAU
rnacentral:lncRNA from 1 species